AAGCAUAUCAAUAAGCGGAGGAAAAGAAACCAACAGGGAUUGCCCUAGUAACGGCGAGUGAAGCGGCAACAGCUCAAAUUUGAAAUCUGGCCUUCGGGUCCGAGUUGUAAUUUGUAGAGGAUGCUUUUGGUGAGGUGCCUUCCGAGUUCCCUGGAACGGGACGCCAUAGAGGGUGAGAGCCCCGUCUGGUUGGACACCGAUCCUCUGUAAAGCUCCUUCGACGAGUCGAGUAGUUUGGGAAUGCUGCUCUAAAUGGGAGGUAUAUGUCUUCUAAAGCUAAAUAUUGGCCAGAGACCGAUAGCGCACAAGUAGAGUGAUCGAAAGAUGAAAAGCACUUUGAAAAGAGAGUUAAAAAGUACGUGAAAUUGUUGAAAGGGAAGCGCUCAUGACCAGACUUGGGCUUGGUUGAUCAUCCAGGGUUCUCCCUGGUGCACUCUUCCAGUUCAGGCCAGCAUCAGUUCGCUGUGGGGGAUAAAGGCUUUGGGAAUGUGGCUCCCUCGGGAGUGUUAUAGCCCAUUGUGUAAUACCCUGUGGUGGACUGAGGUUCGCGCAUUCGCAAGGAUGCUGGCGUAAUGGUCAUCAGCGACC
rnacentral:rRNA from 1 species